CUGGCUGCCAUGACAUGAGCAGCUUUUCCCAGCCAGACCCUUCCACCACGCCUUCCCACUGUGGAGCCAGCCCACUGUGCACCGAAAAUGACUGAGGCACUUUUUCCUCGAGUGGCCUGGAGAUGGGUGGAUAAUGGCCCACAGCUCGGUCCCUUUCUGUGUCCUUGACUGAAAGGAUCAUGGGAAGAAAUGGUCAACAGAAUAAGGAAGUGAUGCACAGGGAAGGAGGUCAGAAUUUUGCAUGGAUUUGGCAGCGCACAGGGUUGAAGCUCAAGCCUAGCGCCUCAAGCAUGCGAUGCGUGUGCUCUGCCACUUGGUCACGCCUCCAGCCCCUCCUUUGCAUUGCACUUAAUUGUAUUUACUUUAUUUUGUGAAAAAAUAAAACAA